ensembl:lncRNA
CAGGUAUUAAGAUGUAGACAUUUGGAGGAGGGGUUAUGGAGCUGAAACCCAUCCUUCUGAGAAAGGGUCUGCUCUGUUGGUGUUGGUGUCUGAGGUGCCCUGAAGAAGCUGGUUCUGUGAGUGUUGGGAAAAGAAAAAACAACUACAAACUAGAUUUCACGGCUCCCAGAGGAAGGAGUGAGCAUUGCAAGGGCGGAGAAACUGCUGUGAGGCUCCCGGAAACAGGAAGUCGAUGGGACCUCCCUGGGGUGCAAACAAGAAGGAGUUUCUCUCUCCCCAGCACCCAUCCCAGAGUCCUCGUUGCCAGACUGAGCCUGGAACCAGUGAGCCAAGCAGAAAUGUGGUUUUCAGUCCCAGACCCAGUAUUGCAGAACGGAGGACUUGAAAGUUCCAGACGACUGCUCACUACCAUCGCAACAUGGCUGGUUUUGUGUGUCUUAAGAAGAGCACGCAGAGUGAAAGCUUCAGAGCCCAAACUAGCGUGCUCUGUCACUCAGUCCUGUCCAACUCUGCGGCUCCAUGGACUACAGGCUCCUCCAUCCAUGGGAUUCUCCAGGCAAGAACACUGGAGUGGGUUGCCACUUCCUCCUCCAGGGGGUCUUCCCCACCCAGGGAUCGAACCUAUGUCGUCUCUUGCGUCUCCUGCAUUGGUGGGCAGAUUCCAGGCCUUUGCUGAUUGUGUGGGUCUUAUUUCCUGAGAAACAGGUGCAGGAGGAACAUUGAAUCACACUAUGCCCUCAGAUCCUUGUUGCUGCAACAGAAGCUGCCUGUCUCCGGAUAGGAUCGCUGCCCUGUUGGACCCUCCAGAAAUCACGCCCCACUGUGACAUCAUCAUUAAAAUGUUCUGCAUCGCUCCC